AUUGGGUAGGGGAGCGUUCUGUAAGCGGUUGAAGGUGUGUGGUAACGCAUGCUGGACGUAUCAGAAGUGCGAAUGCUGACAUGAGUAACGAUAAAGGGGGUGAAAAACCUCCUCGCCGGAAGACCAAGGGUUCCUGUCCAACGUUAAUCGGGGCAGGGUAAGUCGACCCCUAAGGCGAGGCCGAAAGGCGUAGUCGAUGGGAAACGGGUUAAUAUUCCCGUACUUCUUACAAUUGCGAUGGGGGGACGGAGAAGGCUAGGUGGGCCUGGCGACGGUUGUCCAGGUUCAAGUGCGUAGGCUUAAGAGUUAGGUAAAUCCGGCUCUUUUUAAGGCUGAGACACGACGUCGAGCCACUACGGUGGUGAAGUCAUUGAUGCCAUGCUUCCAGGAAAAGCCUCUAAGCUUCAGAUUGUAAGGAAUCGUACCCCAAACCGACACAGGUGGUCGGGUAGAGAAUACCAAGGCGCUUGAGAGAACUCGGGUGAAGGAACUAGGCAAAAUGGUACCGUAACUUCGGGAGAAGGUACGCUCUCGACGGUGAAGUCCCUCGCGGAUGGAGCUAUUGAGAGUCGCAGAUACCAGGUGGCUGCAACUGUUUAUUAAAAACACAGCACUGUGCAAAAUCGUAAGAUGACGUAUACGGUGUGACGCCUGCCCGGUGCCGGAAGGUUAAUUGAUGGGGUUAGACUUCGGUCGAAGCUCUUGAUCGAAGCCCCGGUAAACGGCGGCCGUAACUAUAACGGUCCUAAGGUAGCGAAAUUCCUUGUCGGGUAAGUUCCGACCUGCACGAAUGGCGUAAUGAUGGCCACGCUGUCUCCACCCGAGACUCAGUGAAAUUGAAAUCGCUGUGAAGAUGCAGUGUACCCGCGGCUAGACGGAAAGACCCCGUGAACCUUUACUACAGCUUGGCACUGAACAUUGACCCUACAUGUGUAGGAUAGGUGGGAGGCUUUGAAGCACGUACGCCAGUAUGUGUGGAGCCGUCCUUGAAAUACCACCCUUGUAGUGUUGAUGUUCUAACGUUGACCCCUAAUCGGGGUUGCGGACAGUGCCUGGUGGGUAGUUUGACUGGGGCGGUCUCCUCCCAAAGAGUAACGGAGGAGCACGAAGGUGGGCUAAUCACGGUUGGACAUCGUGAGGUUAGUGCAAUGGCAUAAGCCCGCUUGACUGCGAGAAUGACAAUUCGAGCAGGUGCGAAAGCAGGUCAUAGUGAUCCGGUGGUUCUGAAUGGAAGGGCCAUCGCUCAACGGAUAAAAGGUACUCCGGGGAUAACAGGCUGAUACCGCCCAAGAGUUCAUAUCGACGGCGGUGUUUGGCACCUCGAUGUCGGCUCAUCACAUCCUGGGGCUGAAGUCGGUCCCAAGGGUAUGGCUGUUCGCCAUUUAAAGUGGUACGCGAGCUGGGUUUAGAACGUCGUGAGACAGUUCGGUCCCUAUCUGCCGUGGGCGUUGGAAGAUUGAAGGGGGCUGCUCCUAGUACGAGAGGACCGGAGUGGACGAACCUCUGGUGUUCGGGUUGUGUCGCCAGACGCAUUGCCCGGUAGCUAAGUUCGGAAUCGAUAACCGCUGAAAGCAUCUAAGCGGGAAGCGAGCCCUGAGAUGAGUCUUCCCUGAUACUUUAAGUAUCCUAAAGGGUUGUCGGAGACUACGACGUUGAUAGGUCAGGUGUGUAAGUGCUGUGAGGCAUUGAGCUAACUGAUACUAAUUGCCCGUGAGGCUUAACCAU
rnacentral:rRNA from 1 species